GCCGUUCCAAGAUGCUGUCAAAAUUAAAUCAAUAUGGCUACUGGAAGGCAAACAUUGAAUAUUAUUCUAUCAGGUUCUUAUGGUUUUAGAUCAUUUUAGUUGUUGUACAAAGAUUAAUUUAACAUUUUCUCUGGAAGUAUUAAUUUAGAAAGAUAAUAUGCCUCAUUGGUGUUGUGUUUUGAAGUGUGAAAUGCAAAGUAAUCGUGAUAAAGUUAGCUUUUACCACUUACCAUCAGUGCUACAUUCUAAGCACAAAACUGAACCAAUUUAACUAAAUAAGUUAUAGUUAUCAUCUGAGAGACAACAACAAUGGUAAAAUGCAAUAAAAUAUAAAGAUUUUACUAGCAAAAUGGAAAUUCCCCUGUAAUCAUCUUAUAUCUGGUAAGUUACAACAUUUGAACAUUAACGAUUUUUGAAGAUGUUAACAGUCUAAUCUUGUAGGAAAACCAGCCGACUUAACUGAUAAUAACAAUCCAGAUUGGGUUCCUUCAAUAAAUAUGGGGUAUAUAAACACAAUGAAAUGAGUUCCCCAAAAUCUAAAAUGGGAAUUAAGGUACCAAAGGAGAAUUAAAAGAAAAGGGUACCUACAAGAAAAAAUUGCUUUUUUAUUCCUCUUGAAAUGAUUUAUAAGACACUGGACUGUCUUAUAUUCUACAAAUACUAGAAUCAGCUGAGAGAAGUGGUCUACAAAAACCCAGGAAGGAAACGGAAUAUGUGGCUACGAAAGGCAAAAGAAAGGUUUACAAAGCAAAUGUGACACAUUUUUUUGAAAUAUUUAGGAAUAUCAGUAAAUUGCAUUAAAAAAAUGUAUGAAAAGAUUUUGUUCAAUAAAAAUGUUUAUAUUUA